ensembl:lncRNA
GGUGUGUAGAGUUAGUGAUGUGUGUUAGCGGUGUGUAGAAUUAGUGAUGUGGUGUUAGUGGUGUGUAGAGUUAGUGAUGUGUGUUAGCAGUUAGUGGUGUAUAGAGUUAGUGAUGUGUGUUAGCGGUUAGCGGUGUGUAAGAGUUAGUGAUGUGUGUUAGCGGUGUUUAGAAUUAGUGAUGUGUGUUAAGCAUUAGCGGUGUGUAGAGUUAGUGAUGUGUGUUAGCGGUGUGUAGAGUUAGUGAUGUGUGUUAGCGGUGUGUAGAGUUAGUGAUGUGUGUUAGUGGUGUGUAGAGUUAGUGAUGUGUGUUAGUGGUGUGUAGAGUUAGUGAUGUGUGUUAGCGGUGUGUAGAGUUAGUGAUGUGUGUUAGCGGUGUGUAGAGUUAGUGAUGUGUGUUAGUGGUGUGUAGAGUUAGUGAUAUGUGUUAGCGGUUAGCGGUGUGUAGAGUUAGUGAUGUGUGUUAGCGGUGUGUAGAGUUAGUGAUGUGUGUUAGUGGUGUGUAGAGUUAGUGAUGUGUGUUAGUGGUGUGUAGAGUUAGUGAUGUGUGUUAGCGGUGUGUAGAGUUAGUGAUGUGUGUUAGUGGUGUGUAGAGUUAGUGAUGUGUGUUAGCGGUGUGUAGAGUUAGUGAUGUGUGUUAGCGGUGUGUAGAGUUAGUGAUGUGUGUUAGCGGUGUGUAGAGUUAGUGAUGUGUGUUAGCGGUGUGUGGGAUUAGCAAGUAACAACAGCACUGCAGAGUGCUG